GCUUUACUGUAGCCUGGUAUUGGGUUCGGGCUUUGGUUGCGCAGGAUAGGUGGGAGGCUGUGAGAUUGCCCUUGUGGGGGCAGUGGAGCCAACGGUGAGAUACCACUCUAACAAAGCUAGAAUUCUAACCCUCUGCCGUCAUCCGGCGAAGGAACAGUAUCAGGUGGGCAGUUUGACUGGGGCGGUCGCCUCCUAAAAGGUAACGGAGGCGCGCAAAGGUUCCCUCAAGCUGGUUGGAAAUCAGCUUUAGAGUGUAAAGGCAAAAGGGAGCUUGACUGCAAGAGUGACAACUCAAGCAGGGACGAAAGUCGGCCUUAGUGAUCCGACGGCACUGCAUGGAAGGGCCGUCGCUCAACGGAUAAAAGUUA
rnacentral:rRNA from 1 species